rnacentral:rRNA from 1 species
GACAGAGGCCUCGAGCGUUAGGCGGAAUCACUGGGCUUAGAGCGUGUGUAGGCGGAUCGUUAAGUACCUUGUGAAAUCCCACGGCUCAACCGUGGAACGGCUGGGUAUACUGGCGGUCUUGGGCCAUUCAGGGGCGACUGGAACAAGCGGUGGAGCGGUGAAAUGCGUAGAUAUCGCUUGGAACGCCGAAGGUGAAAACAGGUCGCUGGGGAUGUGCCGACGCUGAGACACGAAAGCCAGGGGAGCAAACGGG